GGGAGGAACCCGCCCAUCGCCGCCAGCGGCUUCCUGUCGCGCAGGUCGACGCCGGUGACUCACAGAGGAGAUGAAAGACCAAGAGCGACAUUCAGCUUCAACGUGGAUGAAGACGAUGACUCAUUCUGGAGGUCACAAGACAAGAGAUCCGCUCAGGGCGCUUUUGAUACGGGGAAGCUCUACGUAGAACCAGGACCGGGACCAGAACCAAGACCAAAACCAGGACCAGAACCAGGGACAGGUCCAGAACUAAAGCCAGAACCAAGACCAAGACAAGAACCCGGACCAGGGCCAGAACCAGAGCCAGGUCCAGAACUAAAGCCAGAACCAAGACCAAAACCAGGACCAGAACAAGGGACAAGUCCAGAACUAAAACCAGAACCAAGACAAAAACCAGGACCAGCAUCAGGACCAGGGACAGGUCCAGGACCAUGAGCAGAACCAGGACCAGGGUUAGAACCAGGUCAAGAACCAGGACCAAGACGAGAACCAGGAGCAGGGCCAGAACCAGGGCCAGGACCAGGAGCGAGAGGGGCGGACCCUCAGACCCCGCUGCAGUGGAUGAGGGGAUUCCAUGGAGGGGGCGAUGAUGAUGAAGAUGAACCCUAACGCAGCAGAAAGCUGAGCGAAUGGACCUCCAGCACCGCGCUCUCACUUCACCGCCGAAGGAUGAGAACAAUGAAACAAAUGAAAUAGUGUUU
ensembl:lncRNA